rnacentral:rRNA from 1 species
CGCGUAGGCGGUCUUGCGUGUCAGAUGUGAAAUCUCCGGGCUCAACCCGGAAAGUGCGUCUGAAACUACGGGACUCGAGUCUGGGAGAGGGAAUCGGAAUAUAGGGUGUAGCGGUGAAAUGUGUAGAGAUCGGGAGGAACACCGGUGGCGAAGGCGGUCUUCUGGACGGUGACUGACGCUGAGGCGCGAAAGCGUGGGGAGCAAACG